UGCUGGUGAGAUAUCCCUCCAAACCUCAUCCUUGUACAAGUAGAUGAGUGCUCCUCUCCCAUUGUAAAUAUGUCGCUGGGCCAUCAAGUUUUACAACCACUUGAAGAGCAUUUAGCGAUCCACUAUCUCUUGACGAACCCCCUGAUCGAGUGGCAACUGUAAUAAGCCGAUCCAGUAGACCUUUAAGAUCUUGCAUAGUAAUUGGAUUGGCCAUACAGACAAAAUACGAACGAUAAUCUCACUGG
rnacentral:lncRNA from 1 species